AAAAAAAAAAGAGAAAAAAGAAAAGAUGAGUCAAAAUCCCUAAAUCUAUGUGCUUAUAUAAGGUGAGAUUAGGGGUGUUAAAUGUCUUUUUUUGCUGAUCACACUGGGUCAGCAGUUUGUUUGCGGUGGCAUUGGCAACGGAUGGACACCUGUUAAAAGCAUCAAAACGUUUGCGAUUUGCAGCAUCAACUACCGGCGCUGGCAUCCCCACCUGACCUGUGAGCUGUCGGCAAUCCGCCACUUUGAAGAGCUAAAAUAAACUAAUUGAGGCUUCCUUCAUCACUUAGUGCCUUCAUCUCGCCUUUCUAGUCACUUUUCUAUCUUUUGCUUAUAAAUGAAUAAUUGCUCUCUUUACUGGUGCAGGCAGCCCUGAUUGGGAGGCCUUUUUCUUCAUUAUGUCGACAGCACUUCAAUCUCACUGCCUCCUUGCCACUGCACAAGGAAGCAGGAGUAACAUGACUGACAAUUUCGCGAUUGAAGGUAGGAAUCUGAGCUUCUCAUUCGCAACAAGGCAGGGGAAAUUGCUUCCCAUUCUCAAAGACUGCUCCCUCGAUGUUCCCUCCGGACAGCUUUGGAUGCUUCUCGGACCAAAUGGCUGCGGAAAGUCUACCCUUUUGAAGAUUUUGGCUGGUCUUUUACAGCCAACCAGUGGGGCACUGUAUGUGAAAAGGCCUAAGAGCUUUGUUUUCCAAAAUCCAGACCAUCAGGUUGUGAUGCCCACAGUUGAAGCUGAUGUAUCAUUUGGCCUUGGUAAGUUCAACCUGACUGAGGAUGAAGUUAGGCAUAGGGUGUCAAAAGCUCUGGAUGCUGUUGGCAUGGCUACCUAUAUGCAAAGGCCAGUUCAAACCCUAAGUGGGGGCCAAAAGCAAAGGAUUGCCAUUGCUGGUGCUCUAGCUGAAAGAUGCAAAGUGCUUUUAUUGGAUGAGCUCACAACAUUCUUGGAUAAUAAUGAUCAGACUUAUCUGUAUACAACACACAACCAAACGAAUUGCUGCCGGGAGGGGAAUAUUUCAUUUUGCUGCAGGAUGCGAGCUUCACAUGAAUGGUUUCUCUGCAAGGGGGAGGGCAAUUAAACUAAUAUUGCUCUUACCCUCCAUCUCUUCUUUACUGCAGUGCUUCUGCUUUGGAGAUUGGGGUGAUCAAAGCAGUCAAGAGUUCUUUGGCUGCAUCUGGUGAAAUCACAGCUCUAUGGGUAACCCAUCGGUUAGAAGAACUCGAGUAUGCAGAUGGUGCUUUCUAUAUGGAAAACGGGAGAAUUGUCAAGCGUGGUA